CAAUAUCCAGGUCUUGGUGGAUCAGCAAUCCCUCAUUUCUCCGGUGAACUUGGAGGAUGCAGAUUUAAGAGUCAAAAGGAAUAAAAAGGGUAAUUGGGUAAGCCUAAUGCACGAGGCUAGGGUCAAAUAUUUCACAACUUUAUUCCGGUGAAUAGAGUGGUUGUUUCUGUAAGAUUGAAUUCAGUUCAGAGGGAGAUGUUAGGGCACAUAAUCAGCCAAGACUGGUUAUCAGCCAAAUACAUAAAUUUUAUAUGCAUACAACGUGGUGUUGUAUUUGGACCCCUUCAUAUUCAUGAGAAAGUCCAAUUUCUCCUUGUCUUAUUCUGUAUGAUGGCAUCCAGUUAAUGCUUUUCCGAAAUACUCAUGGUUUAGCUGGUUCUUCAUAUAUGGAGCUGCCAGUGCCAGCCUUUUGUUGAUUCAUUCUUUAUCAAGCUGUUUGUGAAAUGGUAUUCUGUCUCGUGAUAUAUUGGUUGCUCUGGGUUAUGGUCUAAAUCCCUUUUUUUUUCUAACUCUAUGGUGCUCACUUGUGGUUGUGCACUGCUACGAAUAUCCAAAUGUGGAGGGAGGCCAACCUCUGCGCAUUUAGCUGAACAAAGGUGUAACAGCAUAGUGAUUUUCUCCUUGCUGAAAAGUGAUCAUUCCCGUCUUUCACCUUGAACUGAAUACUUCUCUUAGUUCAAAACUGUAACUAUGCUUAUUCCUUGUAACAACUGAGUUGUUUUACAAUCUGGAUUAAUCUUUCAGGUUCCA